GAAGGAGGGGUGUGGCCUAGACCACUAAGGGCCGUGACGUGGUGCCGCUGAGCUUGGACCCCGACCAGAAGAUAGAGAUUGAAACGAUGAGGAAAACGAAGUGCCUAAUCCCCGCUGGACGCUAACUGCAGGGCAAGCUCCCCAGUGUUGUAGUUGUGUUUCGGAGGCCGAGAACCGCUAUCGGGCUUCCUCGGACUCUGGCCCUGGAGGGGGGAAACGGCGAGGGAGAAGGCGAAACGAGUCUCCAGUGUGUUCUUGGGGCCUGGUGCGAGGCCCAGAGAAUUCUCUGCAGGCCUUUGCCCGGGCACUGAUUAAGGCUGCGAAGAGACGCACCGGGCUGCGGGCUUAGUAGCUUCAGGCUUCUGAAGUCAGAGGGAGGGCUGAGAGCUUACACUUCUGGAGCUCCCCGGGAGACGGCAACUACCCAACCGUGUGGGUGUGUUUGUCACCCAGAAAUACUCUCCACACCAUGCUGCACUGCUGCGGAUGAGGGAAGGAUGGUGUCGGGGCUUCAAGACUGUUUUUCCUACCUCUUCAGUGCCUCUUUCAGUGAUAUGAAGUUAAAACCAGGAACAUGGAGGAGACAUAUUUCCACCUAUUUCUCUCCAUAAGUAUAAAAGACCAUAAAAGACCAUCUAGGGACUUCAGAACCCAAAUAAUGACACAAUGUGUUCUAACAGAAGUCUGUCUGUGGUUGCUUUGGACCAAGGCAGAGUGCUCUAAAGGUGGCUGUGCUGUACCCAGUACUGUGUCUUCUGAUAGAAGGUUCUGAAGCAACACUGUAACUGCUGAAUGCUUCUGGCUGCUUCUUUCCACAGUAAAAGAUGAAAAGAAAUAUCUUUUAUUGAGAUAGACUGAGGUCCAGGAAAAACAAGUGCAACUUCAUGGUCCUUUUCUUCAUAUUCUGGAAUACAAGAAAACGUGUAAAUGUUUGCAAAUUCAGGUGCUAAGAGUUUUGCAUGUAUAGCAGUACUUUUACCAUCUGUUUCAUUUGGAUGUUUAAUGAUGUCAAUCUUCAAUGGAAGUUUCACAAGUGGAAUCUGUUCAAUAGGUACAUUUUCAACUGGAAUGUAACAUGUAGAGCAGUAGAACAUUCUGGAACCACCACAUUUGAGACAUUUUGAUCUCCCACUUUGCUGAGCUUUUUGAAGAACUUCUUGAGAUGCUAAACAUAAGUUUUGAAGGGGAUCUUCUGAAGCUAUGGAAGUAGUUUGUGACUGUUUUGUUUCCACAAAGUUUGAAUUAUUUUCUUCACUUCAUUUGAGAAAUAUAGGUGGAUUGAGAGACAUUCUUCAUUCAAACAAAAGUUUAACAGCUAUUUCUAAAACACAUAUCAUCUGAAGCUAUGGAAGUAGUUUGUGACUGUUUUGUUUCCACAAAGUUUGAAUUAUUUUCUUCACUUCAUUUGAGAAAUAUAGGUGGAUUGAGAGACAUUCUUCAUUCAAACAAAAGUUUAACAGCUAUUUCUAAAACACAUAUCAUAUGUGCACUGCGAGUCCUCGAACAGCUCCACGCGUCUCCAGCUCUGCCCAAGCCCGAGCCACGCGACGGGCUGUGAUCGCGCACGGACCAGACGAGAGCUCUUCAACUGUGUGAUCCAAAUGAAUUUGAGAACACCUAUUUACUGCUCCGCCCUGUGUCCUGCUGGCCAGAAGUGCCCAUCAAUUUCAAAGGCCUCUGUGUGACUGGAUUGAGGAAGCCAAGAGCAGGGAGAAGAAUAGAUCCAGGUCUUCCCAUUACUCCAAAAUGGAGCCUAGCCCUCUGGCAGCACAGUCGGCCAGCUGGGACCACGGUGGCCAUUACUGGAAGUGUGAUCAUCUGCCCUCUCUCCUCAGUGCCCUUGGAAUAUGUGCUCUUCUGUCUGGCUUCAAUUUCUCUUACUUCUUUGUGUGUGAAGAGUCUUCCUUUCAAUCAGCAAACUCUUCCUGCACACUAUAAAGCCCACUUUGGUCUUCAGAAUCUUUCAGUGCCUGAGCUUGUCAGUAUGAGGUUUCUCUUUCUUUAUUUCCAAAUGUCCUGCUUUCUUUGUGUGCAACUUCUUAAGAAUUUGGCAAAGUAAACAACAAAGCAGCAAUAUUUCAUAGGGUUUAAACUUCCCUUUGGUCCUGGAUAGAAAGGAUUUUUUUUUUUUUUUUGAGACGGAGUUUUGCUCUUGUAGCACUGGCUAGAGUGCAAUGGCGCAAUCUUGGCUCACUGCAACCUCUGCCUCCUGGGUUCAAGGGAUUCUCCUGCCUCAGCCUUCCGAGUAGCUGGGAUUACAGGCACCCACCACCACGCUGGCUAUUUUUUUUGUAUUUCUCAGGAGAGACAGCAUUUCACCAUGUUGGUCAGGCUGGUCUCGAACUCCUGACCUCAGGUGAUCCACCCACCUUGGCUUCCCAAAGUGCUGGGAUUAUAGGCCUGCCACCUGGAUCUAUUCUUCUCCCUGCUCCUGGCUUUUUCAAUCCAGUCACAAAGAGGCCUUUGAAAUUGAUGCCUGCCACCACACCUGGCAGAAAGGAUGUUUUUGUUUCUUCUUUUUCCUGUUCCUUUCUCUGCAAUCAUCUCUCUGAGUCUCAGACAUGUGGCACUGGUUGGCUGGCAGCACCUUCUGUGUGUCUGAGCCCUUACAUAGCUUCCAGAGGAAGGGGUGCUCCGUUGGGGUCCUGCCUGCUUUUGGAGCAUUAGAAUCUCCUUUUUUGCAAGCCUCUGUCUCCCAUCAUUUAACACCCAGCUGUGUCUCUCUGCCCACUGACCAGAAUCUUUUCGCAGUAGGUGGGUUUUAAAAAGCACUCACCAGAACUCCCAAAUGCUAGGGUCUCAUGGCCCCUCAAAAACUCAUUACCUUCUCUUUGGGAUCCUCAGACCUGGCAGGAACCUCACAUAGGAAGAAAGGCAGCCAGGGAGCAGGCAGUGAGGACAGGUUGUAAUCAGGCAGUUCUGGCUGGGCAUAAAGUCUGCUCCUGCUGAAGGCAAGCUGCUCAACACUGCACUGGACAUCCUCCAUGUGUGGAAUCUAGGCAAAGCAGCUCUGUCCUCUAUUAACAAAUAACUGAGCCUGGGCAAUCUGUUACUUCAACUGUCCUUUCAAGCCAGGCUUUGCAGUAACAGGAAUUUGAGGUCCAGCAUGCAGAGACAGACCUAAGUGUGAGCCUCUGCUACUUAUGAGCUGUGUGACCUGGGGCAAAUUACUUAACCUCUCUAUACCCUAUUCCCUUCACUUGUGCAAUAAGAAUAAAUAAUACCACACACUUCGGAGGCAUGGCGUAAGACUCAAAUGACUAAUAUAGGGAUAGUUCAGGGGCAGAUACACGGUUGGAAAGCACACUAGAAAUAUCAGUAGAAUCUGAAUUUUCCCCUACCUGCCUCCUUGUUUUCACUACAAAUAACAUUUCCUUUCCUGCUUUUAAGUCAAGAGGGGAACACACUGAUUCUUUAGCAGACAGUUUAGCACACACUUCAAGCCAGAGAGUGUACCAGCAAUGUGGAUUCAGAAAUAAAUAUGAUGGGAGCCCUGCUCUCACAGGAUGGGGUUGGGGGUGGGGGAUAAAGUCCCAAGGGAGUUGGACAGUCUCCAGAUGGGUAGUCACUGCUGGGCAGAAACACAUGAGGGAAGUGUCAGGAGCCCGAAAGAAGCUCUGAACAGGUUGGAACACGUUUUCUGGAGGAUGGGACAUUGAAACUGAAUCACCUACAAUGUUGAAGGCAGAUGGUAACCUAAGAAAGGUAAAGCCUUGUUAAUCAAAUCAAUUCUUUUCACUUUAACUGUAUUGGAAAGAUACUUUAAAAAAUCUUCAUAACAACUGAAGCUCGAUGAUGCCUUGAUUCUGCAUUAACAUCCUUGCCCAUUUCUUGAUACAUUUUCAAUUUACCUUCAUGGUAAUUUACACUCAAGGAAGCUGUCCAAGAUAUGCGGGGGAUUCAAUAAAAUAGGUCAUGGAGUUAAAUGCUGUGGUGAAACACAGGGCUUAAUUUUAUGGAUAAAAUUUAAACUGCUUAGCUGCCUUUUUUGCAUUAUUCAUGUUAAGACUAAUGAUUACUCACUAAAUGGGAAGGAAUCACUGUAGAAAUCAGGAAGCCAUUUUCUUAAUUCUUUAAGCACAUCUGAUGGAGCUGUGGACUCUGCCCUUGAGGUUAACAGCAUUGUAUUAGGGAAGAGACCUGCUUGGCCCACCAGUCAACCUCCCUUGCCUGGGCUGCUCCUGAAACUGCUACAGGAACAGGAAACUUGAAACAAGAUUUUUUCCUAAAAUUGACAUUGGGUAGAAUGAACAGGAUAGAAGACAAUAUAUUAAUGUCAGUUCCUUCUGGUAUUUUUCAAAGUGAAGUCUGCAUUGAUGUCAUUGACAAAAAUGCAAAUUCCAGAUUGUAACCAAAUCUGCUUACUGGCAGUGAGGUUUAGGCACUUUAAUUAUUCACAAGCAUCCCAGGCAAUUCUUAUGUGCUAGUGGAGAACCACAGAUUGGCAUUGGCUAUAGAGAGACCACUUCCUUUCAGUCAUCCAAGGUUAUUUUAUUAACUUAGCACUGGGCUCCAACGUAAACAAGGGCUACUUUUCUAUAAUGAUCAAAUUACUAAUUUUAUAAGUAUAGAAUAAAAGGAUAUGGGUUUCUUAGAUUGUAAAUGUUUGAUGUAGUUAAUGCAAUUUCAUUUUUGAGGUUUGUUUCUAAUAAUACUCUUAAUUUACAUGUCUAAUGGAUUCCUUGUACACAAUUCUGAUCAUGUAAAUUUAAGAUGAUCUUUUCCACUUUGCAAUACAAGACAUUUAAAAUAACCUAAAGUUGCCCAUUCUCACUAAGCACCUGAAAAUUAGUCCCUGUGGGGAAACUUUUUUCAAGUUUUAUUUUUCUUUUUAUUUCAAGUGUUGUUUAUAUUGUUUCUCUAACUGUUCUACCUAAUGAUUGAUAGGCACCUACCUUCCCCAAAGAAAAAGGGUUAAGUGAUCAAAUAUGUUUGGGAAACACGAGGGCAAACAAAGUGAAACAGACUUUUACUGCAGAUUGCGGAUCCUUUGAGAGCCCUUAAUGUGCACAGUAAUUCUCCAAGAAGGGGACAGAAGUCCCUGGGCUUCCCAUGCUUGUUUAGUUUUUAUGGAUCCCUCUGCUGGAUGAGUGUUCACAGGACCACACUUUGUGAAAUACUCAGUCAGCUCUAUCAGCAAAUUAUAUCACGGGAAUUGGUUACUUUCAUUUGGAUGCUUUGCCCAUGUUACCCAGACUUAGGAAAAUAUUUUACAAUUUGGGGUGUAUAUGAGAUAUUUGGGGGCAUUUUCUCCAAUAUCAACUUCCUGCUUCUGAAAUUCAGGUUAAAACACUGACCUAAAUUACGGAAAUCACAAUCUCCUUCACCAUCACCAACAGUGCCACCAUCAUCAAAUCAUGAUCAGCAUCGACCAACACGAUGAUUCCCACUACCACUAUCACAUUAAUAGCACCACUACCAUCCUACCGUGCCCAGCGAGACAACUGCCAUCACGGUCACUAUGACCAACACCAUAUUACCACCGCUGCCACUAAUAUGCCUCAUUGCUAUGCCAAUAAUCACUAACAGCAUUACCACCACACUCCAACUAACCAAUGCUGCUGCCAUCAUUACUGCCAUGAUCUGUACUACCACCACUGCCACUAGUGCAAACAUCACCACUACUGCUGUUAAAGCAGCCACCACCACUGCACCCACUGUCGCCACUGUCCUUUCCACAUCCAGAUGAAGAAAGAAGAAGAGAUAGAAAGCAUAGUUUCAUUAUUCUAGGUCAUAUUCAAAGGUUGGUCACUAGAUAUAAUUGCACAUAUGUUCCCCUAGUUACUAUGGCAUCCCAAUAGCCAUCAAGUGGAACCAGACAUGGUAUCAUAGCAGAAUCCUGAGGUCUAAGGUCUAGUUUAAAUAAGACUUCUGAUCCAAGGUAGGGGUCCCUCAAUUACCUCUAUGACAGGAGGCAAAGAUGUCACACACGACUGCAUGUCAGCUAAACUCAUUGGAAGAUUCAUUUCUGCCUUCAUAAAUGUAGACACUGGGCUUCAGCUAGUUGUAAGGGAGCAGCCCCUGGUGCAAGCCACGUAGCAACUAGAGGGGCUUUAAAAUCAGCACAAAAUUAAGUUUUAUUGCUGCUUUGAGGAAUGUUCAGGUUGGUGGGAGGGGAUUACAGCAGACAAGUGUUUAAUUUACUCAACUAUAUGCUCAAGUUUAUGUAACUGAGCUAUUUUAAAAUUACAUUUUAUGUAUGCAUUGCUGUAUAUAUUGCACAUAUAUAAAUGUACAAUAAUAAUAAAGAGUGGCAUAUAUGAGUCUCAGGAAUUGUGCCAAAGGCUUUACAUAUACUCUCUUUAAUCCUUUUAACUCCUGUAUGAAAGGAGUGUGACUGUCAUUCUCAUUUUCCUAAUGAACAAACUGUGGCAUGAAGAGGUUAAAUAAUUAGCCUAAGCUUACAAAGCUAAUUAAUUGUAAGACUAAGAUCUAAACCCAGGUAGUCUGGUUCCAGGGCCCAUGAUCUUAACCAACACUCUACAUUUUAACACACUGUCUGCACAUUGUCUACACACAGAUGCAGUGUGUGUACAUCAGUUGUAUAAAUAUAUCAUCUUGCAUGAAGUAAUUUAAGGGAUGUUCAAGGAUAUUGUUGAUUAUAUGCAAUUUAUCUCAUGUGCUGAUUUUUAAGCCUAGUCCCAGAGGAAAUGCAAGUUCACUGAAAUCUAAGGGGGGAAAAAAGACACGAAAAACCAACAAGUGCAAAGCAGUGUGGUGCAGAAUGUGGUGGCAGAGCAACAACCACUCUCAGCAAAAUCCUCAUUAAUUCAUGCCAGUAAGUAUGCAAUGAGGAACUGCAGUAUGCAGGGCACUGGGUGGGGCGAUGCCAGCCCUCCUGAUCCUUAUCCCAUAACUUAUCAGGUGUGUUCAAGUUCUUAGUGCGUCUCAAGAAAAAAUAUCUCAGGUUCGAAUUGCUGCAAAGUUUUUCAAGCACAUCCACCGAUAGCAAGACCCACUGGAGGCAGAUCAGCGAUGAGUCUGAGGGCGGCACAAAGGGUGCUACCAGGUGAUCACCAGUCCUUCCUCCUCAUCCUUAUUCAUUCCUUAGACAUCUUGAUAUUAGAAAUUAUUGGUUUGUGAAUGCACCUAUUGUUAACUCUUUCAAUAUACAAAUACAUGCAAACAUAUGUAUAUUCUACAUAUAUGGACAGGCACAGAUUUUUUUUUAUGUUGGGCUCCCUCAAACAGAAUUAAUCUGUGAGGGUAUAAACCCACUUCACAAUGUCCACAGUGGGGCCAAAACCGCUUUUGAGGUGAUCAACUCUAUGCUGGGAGCAGGGGAGUUCUGGGCUGAACUCAAAGAUGCUUUUCAGCUCUAAAGUACCAUCAUCAUCUUCAUCCUCAUCUUCCUUUUCUCUUAAGUGCCCAGAAUGUGCCAGGCUCUGUGCUGUUUACAGGGUUUAUAUUCUCACAAAAAUCUCAAAAGCCAAUUGCCAGAAUUUCUCUAAAGUUUCUUAAUUGGUUUGGCACAAGCUGGAAAUGGUAGUGCUUGGAUUUGAAAGCAGGCCCAUUUGCCUGGCUUUGAAGUUUUUUUUUUAUGUUUUUGGUGCUUGUUUUUACCAUACUACGCAUCUCUUAAAUUCUUUGUCCCUAAAAUGGGGGAGGGGGCAAUAAUGCCAACCUCAUGGGAUUGUUUUGGCAAUUAAAUAACAAUGUAAAAUUCUUUUUGUAAAAUUUAAAGAGCCAUGCACAUAUAACAUUACUAUUAUUUUGGCUUCAUGUGAUUUUUUUUUUUUUCUGUAACAAAUUUACUUAAAUAUCUAGAUAAUGACUUCAAGAAAAUUGUCUUCCUUUGUAAUUCUACAUAUUUUAUUUUUAAAUAAUUUUAGACUUAUGAGUGUUUUAAAGAUAGUACAAAGAGUUCCCAUAUAUCCUUUAUUCAGCUUCUACUAAUGUUAAUAACUUAAAUAACCAUGGUACAGUGAUCUGAACCAGGAAACUAACAUUAAUUCAACACUGAUCUAGAGACAUCAUUUCUAUUUCCCUAUUGUUCCACAGUUCAAUCGAGGAUCUCACAUUGCACAUAGUUGUCCUGUAUCUACAGUCUCUGCUAAUCAAGGACAGCUCCUCAGUCUUCAGCACCUGGGCUUUUACAAAGAGCACUGGUCAGUUAUUUUGUAGAACAUCCCUCAGUUUGGUUGGUGUUUUCUCAUGAUUAGAUUAAGCUUAUUCACCUUAGGCAAGAAUACCUCAGAACUGAUGCUGUGCUCUUCUCAAUACAUCCUACAUCAGAGGGUACAUGAUGUUGAUUUGUCUUCAUUUUGGUCAUAUUAACUUUGAUACUUGGUUGAGUGGUAUAUUCUAGAUUUCUCCACAUAAGUUAGUAUUUCCCCCUGCGUAUCUGUAAAUAAUAUGUGUCCUGUAAGAAAACACUUUGAGAUUAUGUAAAUAUCCUGAUUCCCAUCAUAUUUCACCUACUAAUUUUAGCAUCAUUGAUGAUUCUGCUCUGUAACAAUUAUUACUGUUAAAUUAGUUUGUAAAAUAGUUAUUUUCUAUUUCUGACAUUCUUUCUACAAUAUUAAUUAGUAUUCUACCGUAAGGAAGGAUUGACCUUUCUCCUGCAUUUCUGUAUUCAUCUAAUCAUUUAUUUUUGUCAAUAUGGAUUCAUGGGUACUUAUUUUAUUCUGUGGGGUGUAAUCCCUUCUCAUUAUGUAUUUUGUUCCUCAAAUUAUCCCAGAUUUGCCCAAUGAAAGCUCCUUUAAGUUGGCUCCUGUGGCUUUUUUACAUUCUCCCAUCAUUUAAGCAUUUCCUUGCUUUCAGAACUGCAAGAUGUUCAGGCUUAUCUUGUAAGCUCCCUGCCCCAGCCCUGGAAUCAACCAUUUCUCCAAGGAGCCCUGGUUUCUUUUAUUGAAGAAUGGCAUUUAGAAACCAAGGGGACUAGCUGUACUCAUUGCUACUGGGGUUUCAUGGUUUCUAGGCCCUCUUAGAAGGCAAAGCUAGAAAAUUUUAUAUAAAUAUAUAAUUAUAUUAAUUAUAUCUGCAACUAUCUAUAUCUAUCCUCAAAUGUGUACACACACCACUCUGUACUUAUUUCUAAAACUAUCCAUCUGUAUACAUAUUGAAAACUGUUCAUACUGAAACCUCCAAUUCCAAUACAACACCAAAGAGUUUAUUUUAGCCUCCACUCCUUUAUUCAUAAUUCCUUUCUUCAACUUAAGAAACCUGGCUCCAUUAUCUACAAUCAUUUACUCAAUCUUAGUACUUACAUAAAAUAGUUUCAAAAUUGCUCAUCCACACCCCUGUGGAAAACAAAUUACUAACUAGUGAACAGGACUUGUGUACACCUUUUCUUGUCCUUAGCCUUGCAGUAUCCAAUCACAAUGCUGCUUUCCAUAUUACUGAGGUUAUUUUCUUUCCUACUGCCCUCAGUGUGGCUAUGUAUUCAUUUGUAAUAGAGCCAGGCUCAUUUGUUACUAUUUGCAUUUCAUCUUGGGUUCCCCUUGCCUCCUGAUUGGCUUUCAUUGUAUAUUUAGUUUUCUGGCAUGUGAUCCCAUUGUUCCAAUAGUCAGAGCUAUAUAAAGAGGAACACUCAGAGAAGGGUCUCUCUGCCCUCAUCCUAUCUUCUACCCCUUUGCCAUUUCCCCAUUCUUUCUAUUCUGUUCCCAUCUACCCGUUGUAAGCCACCAAUUUCAUUAGUUUAUAAAAUCUAUUCUUAAAUGAUUUUGUCCUUUUAAGAUUUAUUUUCCCUAUAAUUAUCAGUAACUCAUAAAUUUCCCCAAGGCCUAACUCCGUCUUGACAACCCCAUCUUUAGGAAUAUUUAUACAGACACAUCUAUUCAAUUCACUUUAAUUAAUGUCUUUGUGCUGCUGGGAAUUUUACCUCACUCUGUUUUAUCUGAGGCAUCCUGGGUUUUCUGAAUGCUCUUUGCAUGGUUUCUCUUUAUGGUCUGUUUAGCAAAGAAGCCAACUGCUGGUUCUCCACUCUGAAUGAUCAUCGCUUCCCAUUUGGAAGACAAAGAUGGUUACUGGCCUUGGCAUAUUAACCCUGGAGCUGCCUCCUCAGGAAGUGAAGAGUUGGGCUUGGCUGGCUGGUAUAGCAGCAGCGACAGCAGCAGAGACAGCAUGGCCUGCUCAGAAGGGGCGCCCUAGUUGCCAAGGAUGAGGGCACUGGCUUUGCACUCUUUGAGACUGGGGCUUUACCUAACAAACACUUGCAAAACUUAUUACCCCUCCAGUCCUCAAGUUUCCUUGUACCUAUAGAAUAGGAAUGUUAAAACUUACUUCACACAACUGUUUUGAGGAUGAAUUGGCUAUUUGAAAACUUGGGCACUGGAAGAAGUCCAGUGAAGGACAGUGUCACUUCCGCUGUUCACCCUUUCAUGCUUAAUUAACAUUUAAUUAAUCAAAUAUGUUGUUUCUUUUUGUAUUUUUUUAACUGAGAUAAAUGUAGAUUUACAUAUAGUUGUAGAAAUAAUACAGAAUUAUCCCGUGUACCCCUUACCUAGUUACCCCCAAUGGUAACAUCUUGCAAUAUUAUACCACAAUGUCACAACCAGGAUAUUCAGAUAGAUGUCAUCCACUGAUCUUACUCAAAAUUCACUCAUUUUCCAUACAGUCCUUUGAUUGUGUGGUAGUUCUGUGAAAUUUCAUCCCAUCUGUAGUUUUCAUGUAAUCAUCGCCACAGUCAAGGCACAGAAUGCUUCACUUCCAUCACUAUAAGGAACCCUUGUGUUGCCCUUUUAUAACCACACCCACUUCUCUCCUGUCUCCCAAACUCCAUCUCUAAUCCCUGUUAACCACUGAUAUGUUCCUUACUUACACAAUUUUAUCAUUUCAAGAAAGUUACAGAUAUUGAAUCACAUAGUAUGUAACCUUUUAGGAUUGGUGUUUUUCACUCAGCAUUAUUCCCUGGAGAUCAUCCAAGUUGUUGCACGAAUGAUUUGUUUCUUUUAUUGCUGGGGAGUAGUCUAUGGUAUGGAUGUAUCACAGUUUAAUUAUUCGCCCCUUGAAGGACAUUUGGGUGGUUUCUAGUUUCUGGCUAUUGUAAAUGAAACUGUGAUGAACGUUUGUGUACAGGUUUCUGUGUGAACACAAGUUUUCAUUUCUCUGGGAUAAAUGCCUGUGAGUGCAACUGCUGGGUCAUAUGGCAAUUGCAUGUUUAGUUUUACAAGAAACUGCCAAACUGCUUUCCAGAGUGGCUGUGCCAUUUUAAAUUCCCUCCAGCAAUUAUAAGAGGUGCAGUUUCUCGGCAUUCCUUCCAAAAUUUGAUGGUGUUGCCAUUUUUUAUCUUAGCCAUUUUGGCAGGUGUGUAGUAAUAUCUUAUUGUGGGUUUUACGUUGCAUUUCCCUAAUUGUUAAUGUUGUUAAAUAUUUUCUCAUGUGCUUAUCCGCUAUCUGUGUAUCCUCUUCGUGAAAUGGUUCUUCAUGUAUUUUGUUCAUUUCCUGAUUGUGUUUUGUUAAAUUUUUAAAGUUCUUUAGAUAUUCUAAACACUAGUCCCUUGUCGGAUAUGUGGUUUGCAACUUACUUGUUUUUUUUUUAAGAGACAAAAUCUUGCUAUGUUGCCCAGGCUGAAGUGCAGUGGCUAUUCACAAGUGCUAUCCCACUAUUAAUCAGCCCAGGAGUUUUCACCUGCUCUGUUUCUAACCAGGACCUGUUCACCACUCCUUAGGCAACCUGGUGGUCCCCCACUCCCAGGAGGUCACCAUACUGAUGCAGAACUUAGUGGAUCAGCACAGUGCACUACAGCCCAGAACUCCUGGGCUCAAGCGAUCCUCCUGCCUAAACCUCCAGAGUAGCUGAGACUACAGGUGCACACAUUAAGGAAUAAGACAGUAAAACUAAAUAAGCAAAAAAUAAAACAAAUAUAUGUAUUUGUUUUAGUUUUUUAUUUGGUUGGGGGAAAAGAGAAGAGGAUGGGAAAAGAGGGGAAGAGGUGAGAGGUAUCAUAAUUAGCAAAUAUAUGAGUAAUGGUUCCCCAUUUUUCAUAGCAUUGUGUAUAUCAGCAGUAGUGAGGCAGUGAAUUCCAGAAUACAGGGGUCUCAUGAAGUGUCUGAGGGCCUCAAAAUAAAGCACACUCAUCUGCAAAGUGCUGUUUAUCCCCUGACCUGGUGCAGUCAAGUCUGGUGCUAGAGGACAUGCCAUGAAAAUUUCCUUCUCAGAGACCCUUUCAAGAUCUGUUUCAUUUAAACCAUAUCUCAAGAUAGACAUAUUAAAAAGAAGGAAAAUGCUGUUUGUUAUUAAAUCAGGAAAGCAUUUUAAAAGAAUUUGGAAUCUAACAUGUGUAGCCUCAAAUCCUUGAAGCCUCACAUGAUAUGAAAAAAAAUUAUCUUGGUUCAAAACAAUUGUUGGAGUAAUUCAACAUUCUUAAAACUAUCUUCUCCAGAAAAAUCUUUUAAGUUAGAAAUGUGAAAAUGAAUAGUUUUUCAGACCAGGCUGGAGAAUUUUCCAUGAAUAUAUAUUAAAAUCACUAUAUUUGAUUAAUAAACAUCCGUGUGAGCCCAAGAUUAAAGCAACAUGCUGAGCUUAUAUAAUAUUUACUCAUGCUCUUGUGGUAUCUCCUAAAGCCCAGAAGACCCAGAACUGGGGCUGUCACUGCCUUAAAUAGAAUUAUCAUAGCUUAAUUUCCCCCUUAUCUCAGAUUGUACUGCACCACCUUAUCAUAUGCAUUUAAUUCUCUCCAUAUUCACUGUGCAAUAGAGAAUUCAAAUUAAAAUCACCAAGGUAGCAAAAGUGAUAUACAUCACAUUGGACACUGAUAAGACAUUUUUAUUUAACACAGAAAAUUGCUGGUGUAAAUGAUAUUACAAUAAAUAUACUUCAAUUUAAAAUGCAAGUCACUGAGAGGAAAAACUGGGAGCCAUAAAAUACCUUUCCUCUCCUCAAGGUUGUCCAAAGUUGGUGAGGAUGGGGGGGGUGGUGGUGUUAAGAAAAGGACAAGGCUUUGGACUGGGUUGUUAUCUUUACGAUGCAAUUUAAUCUGGGAUGCCACAAGCACGUGGGGCAGGAUCGUUAGGAAAUAACAUCAUAAAGAAUCAAGAAAGGUCUAAAAGAAAACAGGAGAAACUGUCUUGAGGCUUUCUUUCUUCCAUGCAUAGUUAUAAGAGUAUUAUGUUAACCUGUCUGGUCAUGGCCACAGGAAUAGGAGAUGCUUUAACGAAGUGUUGAGUUGGGGCCCACUCAGGAUGCAAGAAAAGAGACCAAACAUAUAUUGCAUGGGCUAGACAGUUUAUGUAGAUCAUCAUAUUUAAUCCUUAAAAUAAAUAACCCUGUAUGAUGAGGAUAUAUUAUUCCUAAUUCACAAUUGAGGAAACACAAGCUAGAGAGAUGGGGUAAAUUGUUCAAGGUCAUACAGCAAGUGAGUUUGACACCAAAAUUUGACUCCAAACCUAGUGAUCUCUUUCUGUGACACCAUGGUCACAAGGAGGGGAGCAUGCGCCCUCUGAAGUUCACCAAAAUUCUGCAGUUCUUUCUUUUGUGGGUUGUGGCAUCUAAGGGAAAGCAGAGAUAGAGAAGAGAAUCCCAAGACCCAGGAGCAACCAAGUGAGAGCUAAGCUUAGCUGGGCAGUGAGCCAGGGCUGGGUGGGGGGCUUUGUGUUGGCAGGCUGCCAGGCAUGGCCUCCUGUAUCCUGCCCGUGACAGGACAGAGAUUUGGCUGACAGCACAUCUGUGCCCAUUUCUGCUCCACAAAUCAAGAGAACUAGUACUCUUCUUUCUGG
rnacentral:lncRNA from 1 species